UUUGUUUUAGAUAGUAUGGAGCUCUCGAUUUCUCCCCCUUGGUUCAUGCCUUCAUGGUGUCAUUGGCUGUGAUUUUUUCUUCUCUGCUGUGGCAUGUUUAUGCUUCUCCAUGAUUAUUGUGGGCUGGCACUGCCAUGGUGGCCUAUGGCAGGGUCAGCGUUGGUUAAUUUGAUGCUGAUCGUUCUGGUAUGGUCCGGCAAUUGGCCCAUGAUGGUGCAGUGUUUCUUCAGCCCAUUGUGUUCAUGAAAGCAGACGAGCUCUCCCUGGAGAGAUGGGGAGCAACCUGCCGCUGCUGCUCUAGGUUCACGGAAAACUGUUGAUCCCCUGAUCAGGGGAGAAACCUUCGAAGGCUCUAUACCAAGGAAUCUGGAGUUUAUAGUACACAUGUACUUCCUCAUAAACCAAUUGGUAAUAUCUUUUAUUUUCUGAUCAUUGGAUAAAAUCCAUUGACCUACUGCAUAAUUUUCAUGUAGUAACACUGUUGUUUGUAAAAACGAACAUCAGAAAUAACAGGCAUAUUUUCCUUUUCUGAAUUCUAAUUCUUGCAGAUAACUGAAUUAAUUAGUAAAUAAGUCCUUGAGCAUGUUGUUACAAGGAAUCAAUUUAUAGAUCGAACAAAUAAUGUU